rnacentral:rRNA from 1 species
AAAUAGAUACCCCGGUAGUCCACCCCGUAAACGUUGGGAACUAGUUGUGGGGUCCAUUCCACGGAUUCCGUGACGCAGCUAACGCAUUAAGUUCCCCGCCUGGGGAGUACGGCCGCAAGGCUAAAACUCAAAGGAAUUGACGGGGACCCGCACAAGCGGCGGAGCAUGCGGAUUAAUUCGAUGCAACGCGAAGAACCUUACCAAGGCUUGACAUAUACGAGAACGGGCCAGAAAUGGUCAACUCUUUGGACACUCGUAAACAGGUGGUGCAUGGUUGUCGUCAGCUCGUGUCGUGAGAUGUUGGGUUAAGUCCCGCAACGAGCGCAACCCUCGUUCUAUGUUGCCAGCACGUUAUGGUGGGAACUCAUGGGAUACUGCCGGGGUCAACGUCGGAGGAAGGUGGGGAUGACGGUCAAAUCAUCAUGCCCCUUAUGUCUUGGGCUUCACGCAUGCUACAAUGGCCGGUACAAAGGGCUGCAAUACCGUGAGGUGAGCGAAUCCCGAAAAAGCCGGUCCAGUUCGGAUUGAGGUCUGCAACUCGACCUCAUGGUAAC